UACCUACGGGGGGCAGCAGUGGGGAAUAUUGCACAAUGGGGGAAACCCUGAUGCAGCAACGCCGCGUGAGUGAGGAAGUAUUUCGGUAUGUAAAGCUCUAUCAGCAGGGAAUAGAAAAGAAGGUACCUGAAAAAGAAGCCCCGGCUAACUACGUGCCAGCAGCCGCGGCAAUACGUAGGGGGCAAGCGUUAUCCGGAUUUACUGGGUGUAAAGGGAGCGUAGACGGCCAGACAAGUCAGAAGUGAAAGCCCAGGGCUCAACCCUGGGACUGCUUUUGAAACUGCCGGGCUGGAGUGCAGGAGAGG
rnacentral:rRNA from 1 species